UACAGAUCCUCACUCUCUCUCAGCAAGCGCCAUGCUUCACAUGUCACACCACUCUCCUCAUCACACACAAUCAUCAUUUUCAUUUUACACAAAGCAUCUCUGCCCAGCAGAUUAAAGGGGCAUUCUUCUGAUAAUGCAAAUGGCAGCGCGAAGCAUUGAUUAUCGUAUAUACAUUGCAAUGGAACCGAUAAUUUAUCUGAUAUGACUUUUCCAGACGCAGUGGUUGCGUAAAUCACACAGUCUGACUCCCUAAAUUUAUCUGAUUUCUCCUGUUUUAGUGAUAUGCACGAUCUUGUCGCGCCAGUGUCUACCAGAAACCGCAAUGGUUUCCCUUCUACUAACAUUUUUAUUUCUGGGCUGGUUACGUAUGGCUGAUUAUACACACACAUAGUUUCAUCUGUGCUAACUAACAUUUCCCUUUCAGCAUAGUUACAGUUAGAAAAAGCAGAUACUUCGUUGCGCAAAGAGAAAGGAUUGAUACUCAUCGUGUGCUGUGCUGUCACUUCGCUGGACGCCUCCUCCCUCCCAGGGGUAAAUCAGUCCAUUUUAUCAUGUCCCACCACCUCAGCUCUCGGUCCCUCAGGACAAUUACGAUACCAAUGUCCCUCUUUUCCGCAGUUCCAGCACCCUUUUUCUCUUUGUUCACUUCGUCCUCUUCCUCUCCCCCUGCCUCUGCCUCUACCUCUGCCUCUGCCCCUUCCACAUUCUCCUGCAUGCCAGUCCUGAGUCUCCUUCUUGGCUUGUUGCAUCCUCAUUUCAGCCACUGCUAGGUUGACGUUGUGAAUGCGUCUGCUUUCUUUUGCAGAUUGUCUGGAUGUUACUUCAUCAGCGUGUGUGGCAUGUCUUCUCACCUCCUCCAGCCUAGCUCUGCUGAGUCCCACGCAUGAACGCUCCACUGCACGUCUUGUUUCCUCUCUCAUGCCUUGUAGAAAGCAGGUUUUCAAGAACUCUUCAUAAGGAGACGGGUUUGCAGCGUCAGCUGGCUUGUGGUUUGAGUGCAGAGGUUGGUUUCAGUAUUUGUCUCUUCGGCUUUGUAGCAGUCUCUGAGGGAGAUUUUUCAGUCUUAAGUAACAGUGGUUUCUUGUCAUCUUCUGCCUCAUCAGGGGUGUCCAGGUCUGGGAGUGGGGGUGAGCUGGGUGCGGUGGGUUCAGCGCGUUGUUCGGAUGUCAGUCCGUGGUAUGGUGGAGGUGGAUUUCGUUCGCCCCUGGGUGGGAGGCAGUCGUCCUCUGUGACUUUGACACAUCGACUUUGUACCUCAGAAGAAGAAUGAGUAGAAUUACAACAAGAACUUUUCUUGUUUGCUUUUCUUUCCCUUGUCUUACUUUCCUCUACCCAAUAUCCUAUAGUUUGACGAACCUCUGCCAUGCAGGGUUCCUUAGAACUAGGUUUAUAUUCACAAUAAAUUUUGUCUUGCCAUGCAGUAUUUUUCUGCACCGAGAAAUUUGGUAUGUAGCCAAAUCUCCCGUGCAGGAAUUCAGUUCUUUCUUUAAACUGCAUUCCAUGUUUUUUACACAUUUGAGACAGACAAUUAGACAUAGGCAAAGCAUCAUCUCUCCCUCCAGGUGCACCCACCUUACUAUCUUUGUUUCCCAUUUCGUGCGGACUUUAUACCUCACGUGAGGACUUUAUACCUCAAUUAACACUUAUUACUAGGAGGACUCUAUACCUCCUAGGGGGACUUGAUACCCCUCUGGGAAGUGACUAGGAGGACUCUAUACCUCCUAGGGGGACUUGAUACCCCUCUUAAGAAUAUAAGGAUUUUGUACGUCACCUAAGUGAUCUGAUGUACCUCCACAGGUUCUUUUUCGGAUCCCAAUCCCUGGAGGCUCCAGCGCCCACGUCCCUGUUGGGGGUUUGGGUCGACAGGCUUUCUUGUCGAGUUGAUCAGACCGCUGAAUUCCUUCAGGAAUGGGAUCCCAUCCUCGCCGCCAGAUGUUGUGGAAAAAGUUAUUUCAGAGUCACUCAGAUGAGGAAUGCACAAGAGUCAGAGAGAUGUUUCUUUGGUCUAUGUUUAUUAUAACAUGCGCAUGGAACUCUCCUUGUGUCACCACAGCAGAGAGUUAAGUUCAGCAUCAUUUCACAACAUUAUAUUCCAUCCUCUAUAUGGCAUCCCCACCCCUCUGCACGUACAUUCGUGUCCAGAAAUAAUCUCUUUUCGCAGAAUCGUGGCCAUUUUAUGUUUAAUGUUCCCUAAUUCGUAGAAUCAGUGAUUGACUCUAUUGGUCUUCUGAGUAGAGUGUCCUAUUGGGGCUGUCUGUCACUCUCAAAGAAGGUGAGGAAACCACAAGAGGAUAAACAUUCAUAGUCAUAGUACAGACAACAUGAGUAAAUAUAAUGCUGUUAGUGAAACACAUGUCAUUUGUACUAAGACAAAUGACUCAUUUUGCCAUGGCUUGCUAAGCAGGGUUUUUAUCAUUCUCUCACUUGUCGUGAUCUUUCAAUUCACUCAUGGUUAGAACAAAACAGCUAUUGUGAAUUACUGUAAGUGAGGGCUGUCGGCCUUAAAGCGUUUCUUGCGAAUAGAAAACAUUUGAUUAUAUUGUACACAUACUGCACACAGAAAUGAUUAUAUUUUAUUUUCCCUAACAACGCCCAGGAAUGUUGUCAGGACCCGGAGCUUUGCGUGCAUUGAUCCUGCUGAAGGAUCUCCUCACGCUGUCCGGGGUCAGCAUCAUCACCUGGUCACUGGGAGGAGGUGGAUUCUUCUGUGCAGUGGAGCUGUUUUGUGCCUCAAAGUGAGCGAAGAAGGUGUUCAGCUCAUUCAGCAGAGAGAUGUUGCUGUCACAGGUCCGCUGUGGGGGCUUGUAGUCCGUAAUGGUCUGUAUCCCCUGCCACAGGCUCCGAGUGUCUCUGCUGUCACUGAAUUGAUGGGCUAUCCUCCUGGAGUACUGUCUCUUAGCCUCUCUGAUGCCGCGGGAUAGGUUGGCCCUGGCUCUUCUCAGGCCCCCCUCAUCUCCAGCUCUGAAAGCAGCGUUCCGCGUCUCCAGGAGUCUGUAGACCUCCCCUGUCAUCCACGGCUUCUGGUUGGCCCGGACAGUGAUGGUUUUUGUGACUGUUACAUCCUCAAUACACUUGUUGAUGUAGGCAGUGACAGUCUCCGAGUACUCCUGGAGGUCAGUGGUGUUAUUGUAAGUGGCAGCCUGCUUAAACAUAUUCCAGUCAGUUGUAUCAAAGCAGUCUUGAAGAGCGUCAGACGACCCUUCUGGCCACACUUGAAUCUGUUUCUGAACUGGUUUGGCGACUUUAACGAGCGGUCUGUAUGCAGGCAUUAGCAUGACAGUGAUGUGGUCAGAGGCACCGAGGUGGGGGAGGGCUUUGUAAGCUCCUCUCUGUGUGGUGUAAACAAAGUCUAAAAUGUUAUUACCUCGUGUUGGAAAGUUAAUGUGUUGGUGUAUUUUCACUCUUUAAGUCAGCAUGGUUGAAAUCCCCAGCUAUGAUGAGAAAAGCAUCGGGGUGUGCUGUCUGCUGCUCACUGAUGUGCUGGUACAGUUCAUUUAGUGCAUCGUUCCUGUUGCUGUUGUUCGGGGGAAUGUAAACCGAAACGAGCAGUAUGGCAGUAUAUUCCCUCGGCAGAUAGAACGGCCGGCACUUAAUAAUCAUAAACUCCACCAGGGGUGAGCAGUGUUUGCAGAUCACAACAGCAUCGCGGCACCAUGCGUCAUUGAUGUAAACACAAAGCCCGCCGCCCAGCUCUGUCUGCUCGAUAGCACGUCAGCUGGUCGCUGUCGCUGAGCCAUGUUUCCAUGAAUACAAACACACAACAGUCUCUUACAGUCCUUUGAGUUGAACGUAGUAAUCGGAUGUAGUCCA
ensembl:lncRNA